rnacentral:misc_RNA from 1 species
UUAACUAUUAAAAUAUAGUACUCAGACGACACUAACAUUCAGAGUUUGGGGUCCUCUGGCAGGCACUUACCAGCUAAAGCCGGUAGCCGAAGCGGCCUACCAAAGCAACAAAGGUAUAGUAUUCAAGGGUGGGAGAUCUACCCGAUAGGGCAUGAACUCUGUAAUGAUCCUUCCGCAGGUUCACCUACGGAAA